GCCCGUAGUGCAACAGUUCGAGCAUGCUCCCUUGAAUAGGGUGAAAUGUGGGUUCGAAUCCCACAUUGGGCA